CUAAAAAGAAUCCCACAAGCAGCCCCAUGUUCGUGCAAUUCAUAUCCCAGCUAAAAAUGGUCAUCUGGCCCAGAUCUGUUUUCGCCCAGGCUGGACCAGCCAGAUCUGGUCAGGUGCUGCCAGAUCUGUGCCAGAUCUGGUCGAAGGCACCAUACAUGCAGCAGGCACCAUAUAUUUAUUCAGUAAUUUUAAAAUAGUAUAGUGUGUGUCUUUUUCUCAUAUUAUCAAAGAAUGCGUAGUUAAAAUGAUUGUGCUGCACUGAUCAAUAUAUAUUUUUUUUAAUUUUUGUCUCCUGUUGUGGCAGGCCUGGCACAGAUCUGGCCCUGAUCUGUCAACGUGGGGUCAGUUUAAAUCAACAAAAUUUAUCGUAAAUUAGACACGCACAGAAAAAUGGACAAUCAUGUGCACUUAUUGGGCACACCGGUAAUACAAUCUUGAUUUCCCUUUCAGUGUUCUCACCCACUUCCCAACCAAAUGUUCGGAAAUCUUCAGGCAUGACAGGCCAAGGACAAAGAACAAGUUCUGGUGAGAGUCAUGAUUCAAAUGUGAGCUCAUGUUCUCUCCCCUCAAAUUCCACUGCCAGGCUUUCCAGCAAUGGUCCUGUUGUUCCCUAUGCAGUCCUGGAACCAAUGUUGAAUCGUAUCUUUACUGCAUUGGAGGAAGUUAAGGCGGACCAAAAAAACCCGAAGAAGCUGUUUCUUCAGCAUGUAAAGAGAGGAACAGCCAAUGGCAAUGAUAAUGUUAAUGCAGAAAGCUUGCCUCGGGAUACAUUCCCGCUGACAUCUUUGGAGGCGGUGGAUGAUUUUGAACGGAGUCUUGUUGACAACACCUCUUUA